rnacentral:rRNA from 1 species
CCUACGGGUGGCAGCAGUGAGGAAUAUUGGUCAAUGAGCGCGAGCCUGAACCAGCCAAGUCGCGUGAGGGAAGACGGUCCUAUGGAUUGUAAACCUCUUUUGUCGGGGAGCAAAAGACGCCACGCGUGGCGUUCCGAGAGUAACCGAAGAAAAAGCAUCCGCUAACUCCGUGCCAGCAGCCGCGGUAAUACGGGGGAGGCGAGCGUUAUCCGGAUUUAUUGGGUUUAAAGGGUGCGCAGGCGGAAGAUCAAGGCAGCGGUAAAAUUGAGAGGCUCAACCUCUUCGAGCCGUUGACACUGGUGUUCUUGAGUGGGCGAGAAGUAUGCGGAAUGCGUGGUGUAGCGGUGAAAUGCAUAGAUAUCACGCAGAACUCCGAUUGCGAAGGCAGCAUACCGGCGCUCAACUGACGCUGAUGCACGAAAGUGUGGGUAUCGAACAGGAUUAGAGACCCUAGUAGUC